rnacentral:misc_RNA from 1 species
AGAACGGAGAGGCAAUUCCUUUUUCUCCUCUGCUCUGCUCCUUGUUCUUUCAAUUUGCUUUUCGCUUUCUUCUCUCCUCUCUGUUGCCGUACCUUCCCCAUCAUCCGGCUACCGCCCACAUCAUUCAUCCUUUCCUUCACCGUUCACUCACCCACUCCACCAACCCCUUUCUUUUCCGCACUCGUCGUCAUGUCCGUCGACUUCACGGCUAAGGCCGUCGAGCUCUUCAAGAAGGCCGCAACGCUGGAUGAGAACAAGGAAUACGAGCAGGCGUACCGGUGGUACAUGGAGACGAUCGACGUGUUCCUGACGGCCAUCAAGUACGAGAACAAGAACCCCACGAAGCGGGAGUACAUGCGAAGCAAGGUGUCUGACAUCAUUGCCCGUGCCGAGAAGAUCAAGGAAUUUCUCGACCGCUCCAAGGACGGAGACGGUGCCACCCAGGGCGGCUCCGGCGCAACUGCGCAGAAGACGGCGUCUGCCAGCAAGAAAGCCAAGGAGGAUGACGAGGACAAGCAGCGCAUGCGCAGCAGCCUCGGUAGCGCCAUCGUCAAGGUGAAGCCCAACGUGCACUGGGACCAGAUAGCCGGCCUCGAGGCAGCCAAGCAGGCCCUGAAGGAGUCUGUCAUCUUGCCAAUGAAGUUCCCGCAGCUCUUUACCGGCAAACGCAAACCGUGGCGCGGUAUCCUGCUCUACGGCCCCCCGGGCACGGGUAAGUCCUACCUUGCCAAGGCGGUAGCCACCGAGGCGGACGGCACCUUUCUCAGCGUCAGUAGCUCCGAUCUGCUCUCCCGCUGGCUCGGUGACUCGGAGAAGCUCGUGCGCAGUCUCUUCGAGAUGGCCCGCGAGGCCUACAAGACAGGCGGGAAGCCGUCUAUCAUCUUUGUGGAUGAGAUCGACUCUCUCGUCUCCGCGCGCUCCGACAGCGAGAACGACGCCUCGCGGCGUGUCAAAACGGAGUUCCUUGUGCAGAUGCAGGGUGUGGGUUACGACGACGAAGGCGUGCUCGUGCUAGCUGCCACCAACAUUCCGUGGUCGCUCGAUAGCGCUAUCCGGCGGCGGUUUGAGCGCCGUAUUUACAUUCCGCUGCCGGAGUUCCAGGCACGCGUGCAGAUGUUCAAGAUUCACUUGGGCGACACCCCCAACACGCUUGUCGACGAAGACUGGCUGGAACUAGGGAGGCGUACAGAGAUGUACUCGGGUAGCGAUAUCGAGAACGUUGUGCGCAACGCUCUGAUGGAGUGCAUCCGCACGCUGCAGGUGGCGACACACUUCAAGCGCGUUGUCGGCCCUGACCCGCACGACCCCACACGCAUGGUGAAGAAUCGUUUGCUGCCGUGCUCGCCUGGUGACCCGGACGCGUUCCCGAUGUCGGCGGUGGAGAUCACGGAGCCGGAGCUGCUCAUGCCGAUGCCGGUGACCAAGGAGGACUUCAUAAAGGCGCUGCGCACCAGCAAACCCUCCGUGAAUGACGAGGAUAUUGAGCGGCACGUCAAGUUCACUGCGGACUUUGGCCAGGAGGGCUAAGCCGCAACUGAGUCAGGAGGCCAUGGAGCUCUCCUGUGUGUUAGUGCGCGCGUGUGUGUGUGGGAGGGGGCAUGAAUCCUAGCAGGCGAGCGAAAGUCUGCAGAAGGAGGCAGACAGGCGAGGAAAAGCACAAAGAGGAGAGGGGAGAGGCGAGAGGUGGUGGGCUGAGGAGUGGAGAGCUGUGGCGUGUUGCCGGUCCCCUCUUCGGUCGCCCUUUUACGAUGCCCUACUUCCUCGCCUCUCUGCCCUCGCCGUGCCGCCGCCCUUCGCCACGCGUCGCGCCCCGUGUCUUCUCUCCCUCCACUUCCUUCUCUCCCCUCCCUUUCCGCGGCGGCGUACGAUUGAGAGGGAUAGGAGGUGCGGGGCUCCUGACGGAUGACUUCGAAAAACAAAAAGACAUGCGGCACUCAAACCAUGUGAAAUCGACGGGCAUCAAUGCUGUGGCGCCGCAUGUGUGGCCUUCGCCCUUGUGCCCCACUUCCGAAAGUGUGCGGCCCACACCGUUUCCUUGCUCUCUGUCGAGACUUUGCUUUGCUCUCGGUUGUGCUGUGCCCUGCCUUCGUUGCCCUGUCGCUGCCGGCUCUCCCCAUGAUUUCCUUGUCCCUUGUUGCGUUGCGUUUCUCGAGUUCACCUUCGCGAGCUCACUGGCCGAUGUUGACUUUGGGCACUUCUUUUUUCUGAGUUUUUCUUUUUCUUUCCGCUUCUUCUACGAUGUCUGGCGUGCUCUCGACCUCCUACAUUUUUAUCCGUUCUUUUCGAUAUUGUCAUGCUCCUCCUUCGCUGCGUCUCUCUCUUCCCUUCGCUUUCCACUGCUGCUGAUGGUCGUCGGCUCGGCCACUGAUUCGCGACGUGCACCGUCUUCUUUUGCUUCCAGACAAGACACUCAAAGAGACAGCAGAAAAACGCAGUGCGACCCCCCCCAAAAAAAAAGGAGGUCUUCACUCUUCGCCGAGCUCUCGCACACAGUAUGCGCCGGUGCGUGUGGGUAUGUACAGAUUCGCGCUUGAGCUCCUUCUUGUGUGCACCCGUCAUCUAUGGCAUGUGCAUGGAUCACUGGCUUUAUUGCUGACUGAGCGUCUGCUUGGUUGGUGCUCGCUCUUCCUCUCCCGUUUCUCUCCUCCUCGUGCGUGUGGUGUGUGUUGUUAAGGCCGUCGCCCCUUCUUUCCUUUCUGGCAUGUUUGCGUUGUUGUUUCUUAAGGAUGCGCCUUUGUGUUGACAUGCUCGCUGGCUCUUCGUUCGGCUUGUAUAUUUCGGUGUUGCUGUCGUCGUCGUUUUCUGUUUGCCCCUCCCUCCCUUCCCGUCUGGGAGUGAGCGCGCUCUUAGUGCCGGACGGCCUCCGUGCCGGUCUCUCGUUUUUUUCUUUUUCGUUCUUUGCUGUGCGUGUUUGUCUUUGCUCUCUCCUGUCCGCCGCCACCUCUCUUCCUCUCUCCGCCUUUCCCCGGGCCCCUCACUCGUUUUCUGUGUCGCCGGGAUGUCGAAUCAAAACGCCGCUGCAGGAAAACGAAAAUUGCCCAGCAACGAUCGCCGCUUUAUACAUCUACGACUCCUUUUUCGGCCGCCUGUGAGUACCCCGCCAGCCCCGCUCACGGGAGGACUUCUCGGUGCGUCGCAUGCUCAGGGCCCAGCACCCUCCCCCUUCUAUUUCCUGCCAAUGCGGAACCACUUGUGGUGGUGACAUGGCCCGGGCACCCAAGCCGGAGGGAGGUCAGAGCGAUUCAUAGCAACUGAUAUCGGCGGUCAGGUCCUGGGUGGCGCUGCGUGAGAGCGAGCGGCGACGGUGAGCACACGCUUGCACUAUACCGAUGAAGGGCAGAGCAUCGGGGUGACGCGAACGCAUGCCACCCGACCCUCACGCUGCCUGCUGAUGUGGGGACCGGCGCGACGCCGAGAGGGACGCAGCAAGUGGCGACCGGCGUCGUGAGAGCUGCUGUGAGGCGACCUGAGGGGUGGGGGCGCGGUGGGACGGGCGGGUGGGUGGCGUUUGAGGCCGAGGCCGUGCUGAGAUGACUGGGUCGGCGCAUUGCUGUAACACGCGUGUGCCGACGGCUGCUUUUGCACCACGCGGAUGGGGCCUGUGGUAGGCCGGUAGGUCGAGUGGACUCAUGCUUUAUGGACGAAUGGACACAGUACAGAAGAGGACGCUAUUUCUUUACGCCUCUCUUGCGCUAUGUUGUCGGCGGUGCAUGCUGAUUGUCGUGCGCCUGCGGUCGGUCGUCUUUGAUACGCACCGGCACCCCAGUUGAAGGGGACCAAAAAGCGAGACGGUUGUCUGGGCGCUUCCGCGGUUGCCCUUGCAGGUGCUUCAAGGAAUGUGGAAGGAUCUGUGUUUCUCUUGGCGUGACGGUGCGCUCCUGUCUGAAGACGUGCAUUUACGGGUACCUUAUCUGUUUGUCUCUCACCUUUGCCCUC